GGGUCGUUAGCUCAGUUGGUAGAGCAGCGGACUUUUAAUCCGUUGGUCGUUGGUUCAAGUCCAACACGGCCUACCA
rnacentral:tRNA from 1 species